CGACCGCCGCGAGCAGCGGGUCUCGUGGUUACGAGGACGCCAACGCGAAGUCCGGUUCCAAGAAAGUCCCUGCUUCGCGUGUUGCUCGACGGCGACGUUCAUCGGACUCGUGAAGCCGGUCAACCGCGACUGCGAGAGUGUACUUGUGGAAUGACUUGUGGAAUGCGCGUGUUAUAAAAGGUUUCCCGAAUCGUCGCUUUCGACUUCUGGUUUCGGACCAU
rnacentral:lncRNA from 1 species